GUGAGGAAUUUUCCGCAAUGGGCGAAAGCCUGACGGAGCAAUGCCGCGUGAAGGAUGAAGGCCUAUGGGUUGUAAACUUCUUUUCUCAGAAAAGAAUUAUGACGGUAUCUGAGGAAUAAGCAUCGGCUAACUCUGUGCCAGCAGCCGCGGUAAGACAGAGGAUGCAAGCGUUAUCCGGAAUGAUUGGGCGUAAAGCGUCUGUAGGUUGUUUAAAAAGUAUUCUGUCAAAGAUUAGGGCUUAAACCUAGAUAGGCAGAAUAAACUUUUAAGCUAGAGUUUGGUAGAGGCAGAGGGAAUUCCCGGUGGAGCGGUGAAAUGCGUAGAUAUCGGGAGGAACACCAAAGGCGAAGGCACUCUGCUGGGCCAAUACUAACACUGAGAGACGAAAGCGAGGGGAGCAAAUGGGAUUAGAUACCCGAGUAGUCC
rnacentral:rRNA from 1 species